UGUCCAUUUGGGAGAGGUUUAAUUACCAACUCCAGAUGUCGGGAGAAGCUGGUUCCAGAACUCCAGCAACCUGGCGCUGUCUCAGCUAGCAGAUCUCCUCCACCCUCAACCACACUUUCAAGCUGGACACCUCACAUCUCGGCAGUAAAAACAGAUGCUCUCGACACUUUGAAAUAAAGAGGUGCCAUUAGUGAUUCUCUGAAACAACAAAGGCUUGACUCAGUGGUGACUGGAAGCCUCCAACCAGAUUUCUGACCUUACCUGGGAAAUGUAUGGAUUUUUUUCCCCAAAUGAUGCACAAAGGGAAAGAUCUGUGCUGCUGGACUGCAAUUCAUCUAAAAGAGAAGGAAAUAACUCUCUAGUGGAUAUGAACUGUGAAGAAGAAUGA
rnacentral:lncRNA from 1 species